rnacentral:lncRNA from 1 species
ACAGAUCAAAGCAAAAGAUUACAAAGCAUGCUUACAAAACUAAACUCCCCCUCAGCCUGAUGCUCCAAGGUUGGUUGCUCAAGAUGAAAGGAUUGGACUAGAGGAGAAGAACCCACUCAGUCAAUCAAAUGUAACAGUACAGGGUACUAUUGCAUUUAUAGGCAAUCCAAACCACUGAGGCAUCUCAGCUGACGUCACUAUGAAAGUGACAUCUAACAAACUAACAAACUCUAUCUACUGUUCUACAACUACUGACCAUACAUACACUGAUUACAUUCUUAACACUGAUUCUUCAUUCCAUUGAUGUAGUCAGCCACUGUUGGUUGAGCAUCAGAGCUUUCUUCAAAGGGUGAUCAGACCUUGAAUGGGCAGUGCUUUAAUUCUUCAGCAGUGCUUGGAUUCCGUCAGUAGAUUGAGCUUCAGCCUUUAAACUUUAUCAGUGCUUUGGCUUAACAGUAGUUUCCAGAAUUAGCAGUUGUUGAGAAGGGCAGUACUUGGAGCAUAUCAGAUGUUGGAGUCACAGUCAAGGGGAAAGCUUAUAGUAAACACCUGCUUAUUAUGUAUCCAUUGUUGUGAUCCGGUUUUGGCUUUCAUUAUCUGUUCCUCUGGUAGGGUUCAAUUGUGACAACUCGUAUGUGAGACCCCUCUUUGUGUGUUUCGAUACAACUUGUUUGAACUAUACGUGACUAGUGGACGUGUUUGAUUGUAAUGUAAUAUUAUGCAUUAUGUGCUAUGUGAUGAUAUGUGAAUGUUAUAAGUUUGGUUGCAUAACACUUGUCCGGUCGCACAAGCCAUUGGGCUGCACUUUAAUCCUUUUCUCUCACACGCUACCCGGCCCACUAUCACUAUACUUGGCCAACUCGAGACUAAGGGCAACCCAUCAAUGGGUUCGGCCCACUUCUCAUAUGCAUACAUGAACCUUUAGGGGGUGUAGUUUCUCAUUACUUGCAAAACACCAACACACACAAACCCUAAGCUCUCUCCUUUUCUCUCCCUUGGAACCGGACGGCAGCCCCACUCGAAGCCUUUCUCCUUCGUUUCAAUCCAACCCUCUUGAACAUCACGGACGUGGUUGACCACCAUAUAGCUUGGUUGACUUUUCUAUGUAUCUGCCGAGCAAACCAAGGACAAUAGGUACUCAUGAAGCUUGCACGGGAGGCGCGGUCGUUGUGGGCCCGAAUCGAGGAUGUUAUGUUAAACACUUUUAUGACAUUUCAACUUAAUACUUACGCUGGGUUUUACAUUAUUGCUUCCGCUACACUUGAUUAUGUUUGGUU